CUGAGAGGGACAGGUAGGUAGAAUUGAGAACUGACGGACUCUCCUCAUAGUGGAAUUAAAGGACUUUAUCAACAUUAACAGGCUACUGCCCUUGGUUUUUUAGUACGAGCACCACAGAAAGAACUGAAACUGAGGGACUCUCCAAUUUUGAAAGAGGAUCUUCAAAGUCAAAUCAUCCAGUCAUGCAGACCUAAGUCUUGGCCUCUGAUCAACACUCUCAAGUCACUGCCUAGCCCUUUCUGGCUCUGUGCAAGCGUUGUACUGGCUUGAAUAACUGACAUACAGCUCUGUGGUGGAAGUCCCUUUUGUCACCAAUAGGAGGCGCUAUCAUAUGAGUAACAACAUGAAUUUCUGCAUGGGGCAGAAAUAAUGCGGUGCGACUCGAGUUUCGCCGUCAGCUAGAAGACGGUCUCCCUUUUUGGUCAGUGGAGGGAUGUUGAGAAGCGGACCAUCAGUAUGCUGCUCUCCCUCCGCUGAGACUGACCAUCAGAUGCAGGCAUCAUCAGCCCAAUAAAAUAAAAAUAAAAAGCAAAUUAUUUAAAUGUAUGCUCAGUCAGCUGUGCAACAGGUCUAUUACCGAUGUGAUCAUAUAACCUACCUCAAAUGAUGAAAUAUAAUUUUUUUAACCCUUGUUUGGGGUUCAUGUUUUUGUUAUUCACCCAAUGUUCACGGGUCUGAUGGACCCACAACAUUAUUGGGUUUUUAAAAUAAUACAGCCAUAAAAAUGUACGUAAAAACUUAGAUGUUGACAUAUCAAUUACAAGCAAUAUAGACAGCAUACAUGGUUAAUGUUUGCCAUUUACCUCUGCUAGAUCUCAUUUAUCAAUAAAACCGCUCUUUGAUUUUUUAAUAAAAUGUGAUUUCU